rnacentral:rRNA from 1 species
AGCGAACGCUGGCGGCAGGCCUAACACAUGCAAGUCGAACGGACCCUUCGGGGUUAGUGGCAGACGGGUGAGUAACACGUGGGAACGUGCCUUUAGGUUCGGAAUAGCUCCUGGAAACGGGUGGUAAUGCCGAAUGUGCCCUUCGGGGGAAAGAUUUAUCGCCUUUAGAGCGGCCCGCGUCUGAUUAGCUAGUUGGUGAGGUAAUGGCUCACCAAGGCGACGAUCAGUAGCUGGUCUGAGAGGAUGACUAGCCACACUGGGACUGAGACACGGCCCAGACUCCUACGGGAGGCAGCAGUGGGGAAUCUUGCGCAAUGGGCGAAAGCCUGACGCAGCCAUGCCGCGUGAAUGAUGAAGGUCUUAGGAUUGUAAAAUUCUUUCACCGGGGACGAUAAUGACGGUACCCGGAGAAGAAGCCCCGGCUAACUUCGUGCCAGCAGCCGCGGUAACAC